GAGUUAACAUUCCCUCUGAUUCUCACAAGUCUGGCUAUGUCUCCAGAAAAAAAGAAAAAAAAGAAAAAAAAAGAAAAAGAAAAAGAAAAAAAAAGCCGUCAAUCACAGAUGACUUGGAUUCAACCGCGUCUUCUUUGAUUAUUUUGACACAUUUUGACAAAAUCUAAACCUAGAAACAACGGAAGAACUGACCUCAGACAGCCUGAGAUUCGCAGCACCGGCUUUUCGCGUGAAGGAAAUUCUGGACCUGAAUGAUACCUGCACUGAAAUCUGCUUUGCUUCUCUCCCCCCACCCCGACCCCCAGAUCUUGAGGUCCUUCCCUGAGAAAUGAAGAAUUUCAUUUGCUGCUGUUAAAAGUGCUCAAAGCAGAGAGCCCUCAACGAGUACUUCAUCUGAGACUAGAAGACGGUUCAGUCCAUCGAGUGCUUGCUCUGAGUUUGAACACCAGAAACUGUACAGAAAUGCCAGGAGUUCAAUACUCAGAACCUUGUAAUCUCAUUGCUGGGGAGACAGAGACAGAUGGAUGGAGCCUGCAAUGCACUGGCUAGCCAGUUAAGCCAACUUGGUUAUCUUCUUAAUGUCCACCCAGUGCGGUCUCAAGAUUCUAGCUGGUGAUGGAGAAGACCACCAUGAUGUCACAGACGCUCAAGACAGAGUUGAGAAACGAAUGGUGUGAUGAUAAGUGAUUCAUCCAAAAGGGAAAUUAUGAAGACUCUCACAGCACAUGAAAGUAAGGCUGAUAAUUGUGGAAUGUGUUGCUCAGCUUGAAGAAAAUCUUAGGAAUCUCUUCUGAUCUACUGGUUGGUGGCUUUCUGUGAGGCAGGGAUCUAUGUUCUUCAGGUUGGAUUCAAACUCAUGACCCUUCUGCUUCGACAUCCUGAUUUCUGAGGCUGCAGGGGUGUACUCCACUAUCUUAUGUAUGGCUCUCUCUACAAUCUGAGAUCUCGUGUAUGCUAAGUGUAUCUGAAACUCAUAAACAAAUAGUGCACACAGA